GCUUACGGCCAUACCACCCUGAGCACGCCUGAUCUCGUCUGAUCUCGGAAGCUAAGCAGGGUCGGGCCUGGUUAGUACUUGGAUGGGAGACCGCCUGGGAAUACCAGGUGCUGUAAGCU
ensembl:rRNA 5S_rRNA 5S ribosomal RNA